GCCAGAACUGCGCGCCUUUAUCAAGCUGAUGUCAAUGGGCCUUGGUUCAUUGUAUGAGGGCCUGGACAGCCAUCUGCAAAAAAUCCUUCAGCUGUUCAGGUCGGAGUGCUGCGAGGGGAUCAAGGCAACGACAUCCUAACUGGAGAGCCUUGACAAGGAUGAGACUCGACCCAAGUAACCUGUUAGUGAGAACUGUGUUUUGUUGGACCUGACAUCAUCACCAAGAUUGAAGAUAAUAAAGUUUUGCAGAUUUUCUUGAGCCAAGGCUUUAAACGGAACUCCUUGUGAGUCGGAGUCGUGCUGGGGCAGCUGUUAUGUGUGUGCUGAGCUAGCAGGCUGGACACCACAUGUUAGCAGGGGCAGAACCGUAAGAAGGCACAUCUUCCAACGGCCGGUAGUCCUCACACCUGUAAGUAGACACAUCAUGA